UGUACGCGCCAACGAUUCACCCCUCUCCAACCAUCGAAAUACCAACCACCCUGGUUUCAACCCCUCGAUGGCGACGCCCAGCGUCGAUCCACUGUGUUCCCAUCUUCUACCACGCAGACUCGAACAUCCAUCGUCCCAUGGCGCUUGUGCGUGACCCGUUGGAUUUUCCAAAAACACUGUGUUCGAUCUCCAUUGUGCUGUUUCAAACAUCUUUAUUAAAUUUUGAAUUAUUUUAACAUUCCAGUGAUUUGUUUUAAAAGUUGAACGAAGUGAUUGAUACAAAAGAUUUGACAAGUGGAGUAUCUUAUACCCUUGUGUAUUAAUUCAAACGCAAAAUGGGUGACGGGGUUGUAAAAGAUUGUUUCGUUUUAAUUCAGAGUGAAAAGUGAUAUUUGGAAAGGACUUUCCUAUUUGGAGAUUGUGACGAUGCACGAUUGUUAUGUUAAAUUUCUUAAUGUUACCAAGUAUGUUACGUUUAUUAAGUCGUAGAAUGAUUCCGAGAUAUGGGGGUUGAAUUAUCUGCGUUGGUGUCAAUGCAUGCGUUUUCAACCCUCAGAGCGCAGACUCGCCGGGAAUCCAUUGCUACCAUCUUGUGUCAAGGGGGUGGUGAAAGCUUUGUCGGGGAUGUCUAGCAACGUUCCGUCGAUGCACCCCCAAAUAUUUGCGAGCAACUGAUAUCUUUCGCUACAGAUCACAUAAAAUGGUGUGCUGCUAGUGCUGUUGGCGAAGAUGGUGGUGCCGAGGGGAAACAGGAGAGAGAAAGAUAGAAACAACAGGAGGGAAGAAGAAGAAUGGAGAGGACAGAAGGCCGUGAAACCGAGGAGACGGGGAGAGGACAGAGAUGUGCCGGCUGGCAAGCAGAUGGUUGCGCCGUUUAUUGGUUUAUUCGUCGGUUCAGCCAUGACGUCCCGUCCAGCCAUCAGACCAGCCGGUGUGUGUUCCUCUUUGUGUUCCUCGGGAGGAUUCGACUAACACCCGGGUCUUAUCUCUUCUCGAUUUCGAACCAACGCUAUAACUAUCGGCUGGGAUUUGUACGAAAGUGACUUCCACGGUGGUUGCAGCAUCGACAGCUUUGUCUUUUUGGAGCUUUUUCGGGGAUCGUGAUUUACACGCUUGGAAUGCACGAGGGUGAUGAUGUCUGAUGAUGUUUGAAGGGGUAGAGUGCGGAUGUCGAUUGUUCAAAGAGGGACUCUCGCGACGAAGGGGUUGAUUGAUGCUGACUCGGCUGCUCUUAUCGUCGCUUACACGGUAAUCAACGUGACAGAAAGAGUGCUGAAACAAAUAAUUGGUACAAAUUUAAUCUCACGUGGAAAACUGGAAAUAUGGAAAAUUCAGAAACCAGUACCCGCCUAAUUCAAGUUAAUCCCGGAUUGGCAAGCGGAAGGAGAGGAUUCUAAGAGGAUUAACCCACUGCUCGAAGCUCGAGGAAUUUGGGAGCCUAUCGUUGUCCUAUCUGUUUCAAUUCCCUGAACAAAAUAAUCCGAGAUAAACAAGGAACGCCGAUGACCAAGUAACCUGGAAAUGGAAGGUACAUCGACACGCUCAAAUAAAAGAAGCUGUACCGCUACGGAAUAAGAGGAGAAAGAGGAUGAAGAAGAACACGACCUUGCUACAUUCAGCUGUGUCAUCCGUGAGCCGUUAACGCUCAGGUGCUUUCGAUCCCAGGGACGAGCAUCAAUCACUAUCGAUAGUGCAGAUGGACCAAAUGAUGACGAGAAGGUUGGACACCGUCGAUAGCAUACUGGGCCAACGAAGAAGUUAAAAGCGGCACGGAUCGCAAGAAGAUUAGACGUUGAGAAGAAACUGUAAACCGAGUUCGAGCCACGAAGAAGUUGGCGUAUCCGGCGGAAGUUGGCAGAAGAGAGGGCAGCAGCCAGGUUCAAUCGGCGUCGUCGAAUGAAGACAAACGGUUCUGGGGUCGCGGUGGACGCGUUUACCUACGUUUCCAGAGAUCCUCGCGGAGUCUCGAGUCUAAAUCCACAUCCAAGUGCGCGAGAAAACAUAGCAAGAUUAAUGAUAUGCCUGACACAAGGGAGAGGGUGCUGGUUGGCGAGCACACUGGCGUCGGUAACUGCCAAGAGGAAACAGCAACCACAGGAAUAGCUUUGCUACUUUCCAUACUGCACCGUCCUGCGCCUUACUCCAGUUGCAUACUUGUCACUCAUUUCCUGUCAUGCUCAAGAAUCUCGCGAUACCUUGCAUAUCGUUGUUCUUGUUUUCCGAGGUAUUUCGAUUCGCAUUGUCUCAGUCGUAGUAAGUGGGAAAUCGAUCUUAGGGUGCGUUUAGAGAUUCUUCAGGCGAUGAAAUGAAAGAAUGAUGUGUUCAUUUCUUGCAUCGAUUGAGUCAAGAAAUCUACAUCUGUAAUCUUCUAGAUAGAAGACAAAAUUAAAAAUGUUGAAAGCUUCGUUAACAGUCCGCAAAAAGUGUAACUUCUAUCGCU